UGGCAAGAAGAACUGCUUUGCUUUUGGG
rnacentral:piRNA from 1 species